rnacentral:rRNA from 1 species
AGAGUUUGAUCAUGGCUCAGGAUGAACGCUAGCGGCAGGCUUAACACAUGCAAGUCGUGGGGCAGCGCGGACUUCGGUCUGGCGGCGACCGGCAAACGGGUGCGGAACACGUACGCAACCUCCCUCAGAGCGGGGAAUAGCCUCUCGAAAGAGAGAUUAAUACCCCAUAGUAUCUUGAAGACACAUGUCUAUGAGAUUAAAGCUUCGGCACUUUGAGAUGGGCGUGCGGCUGAUUAGGUAGUUGGUAGGGUAACGGCCUACCAAGCCGACGAUCAGUAGCUGAUGUGAGAGCAUGAUCAGCCACACGGGCACUGAGACACGGGCCCGACUCCUACGGGAGGCAGCAGUGAGGAAUAUUGGUCAAUGGAGGAAACUCUGAACCAGCCAUGCCGCGUGGAGGAUGAAGGUCCUCUGGAUUGUAAACUCCUUUUAUAAAAGAAGAAACCCCAUUUUUCUAAAUGGGUUGACGGUACUUUAUGAAUAAGCACCGGCUAACUCCGUG